rnacentral:rRNA from 1 species
GACGAACGCUGGCGGCGUGCUUAACACAUGCAAGUCGAACGGAAAGGCCUGUCCUUCCUUGUGUUGGACGGGUACUCGAGUGGCGAACGGGUGAGUAACACGUGAGUGAUCUGCCCCCAACUUGGGUAUAAGCCUGGGAAACUGGGUCUAAUUCCCGAUAGGACUGCAGGGUGGUGCCUGUGGUGGAAAACGAUUUUCUAGUGGUUGGGGAUGAGCUCGCGGCCUAUCAGCUUGUUGGUGGGGUAAUGGCCUACCAAGGCGGCGACGGGUAGCCGGCCUGAGAGGGUGGACGGCCACAUUGGGACUGAGAUACGGCCCAGACUCCUACGGGAGGCAGCAGUGGGGAAUAUUGCUCAAUGGGCGGAAGCCUGAUGCAGCGACGCCGCGUGGGGGAUGACGGCCUUCGGGUUGUAAACUCCUUUCGACCGCGAGGAAGCCGCCUGGUUGGAAGGGUGGUGACGGUAGUGGUAGAAGAAGCACCGGCUAACUACGUG